CACACGGAUUGCAAAGAUUCUAUGAGAUUAACAUUUCAUCACUGAAAGAGUUAAUGUGAGACAGACUAGCAUUCCAUCACUGAAAGGCUUAAAGCACAACUCACUAUCUUGUAUUUUCCCAUGGAUUUACUUGCUGUGACCCUAAAGGUAGCAAGAUUUUGUCAUCAGCCUAUUUCCUGCAGUGACCAAGGAGUAGCAGGCUGGGCAGGCACAUACAGAGCCAAUAUAUGGAUAUAACCCCUUCUACCCUUCAUCGGUUUCAUCUAAACGGUAAGAGAUUCCUGCUAAUCUGAAUUUCUAUCAAACGUAUUCCUAGACUUCUGUGUCUUAUUCCAAGGCCUCUGUGUCUUUUAAUAUAUCCCCUGGGUUACCUAUUCCAAGGCCUCUGUGUCUUUUAAUAUAUCCCCUGGGUUACCUAUUCCAAGGCCUCUGUGUCUUAUUCCAAGGCCUCUGUGUCUUAUUCCAAGGCCUCUGUGUCUUUUAAUAUAUCCACUGG